CAACCCUCAAGCCCAGCUUGGUGUUGGGAGCUGUCGUCAAGACACUCCCCAAAUCGAUUGGCGGUCACGUCGAGCUUCCAUAGCGUAGUAAUUUACACCUCGUUACUGGUAAUCGUCGCGGCCACGCCGUUAAACCCCAACUUCUGAA
rnacentral:misc_RNA from 1 species